AUUCCAUACUGUAAUAAACCAGUAACUAAUGAAAGAAGACAUAAUUAUGUUAUUUUAUAUCCAGUAAUUAAAUAUGAAACUUAUAAUUAUAAAAAAAUACUGGUUUACUAUAAACCCUGAAGUCAAUAACAUUUUGUGAAACAACUCUUUAUUGUGUUAUUUGAGUUGGAGGUAAAUUGUGUUAAGGAGUUUUAAGAAAUCUUCCUUUAUCUCCAAAGACUCUGUAUUUCAACAAGAAAUGCUUUAAAAAUUUUUAACUACUCUGUACAUGAAUUAAUUGUGCUAACACAUGUCCAAAAGUAACCUCCUUCCUUUAUAUUUUGGUCCCAGAUAAAGUAAUAAUUCACAACUUUAAAUUAUACAAAAGAACUAAUGCUCUUCUUCAGUUUGUGUGCAUCUAACAGCCCAUCUUAAUAAAGGAGCUAAUGAACACCUGAUGGCAUGGUGCAGCAUAAACAGAAGGAGGAAUGUAACAGGCUCACUAAUCAUGGAGUAAAUCUUUUUUUGUGGAAAACAAGAAAAUGCAAAAUCAUAGAAUGGCUGCAUCUUGACUAGAGAGGAAAAAAUGGCUUCUCUCCUAUCAAUUAGAGGAAGUUAGAUUAAGACCCCUAACCCCGUCAAAGACAAACAACUUAAAAUGCUUGAGUACUUUAUUACUAGAGACUUUCCGUUUAGAUGCUGCAGUUUAAGAUUCUUAAAGGAAGAGCUAUACUUUAGAGCUCAUGAGAAGUCUCCCUUUUCAUCACUGGGGAGUGUUCAUUUAUAACUGCUUCCCAUCGAGGUCCUUGUGGUGGGAUAUGACCAAUAUUAAUUGCUUUAGUGCUUUUCUCUCAAUAUUCCUGAGAAACCUAACAAACCUUUAGGGACAGCCCACAGUGUGCUCUCCCUGCCUCACAUCCAGUCAGUCCCUGGACUCAGCCUUCCCACUUCCCAGUCCCCAGAACCACUUCAAGGUACAGGCCACAGCCACUUCUCUUAGUGGCCUCUCCUUACUCCUUGCCCUCCUUUGUCCCUACCCUACGUCAGUUCUCUAUAUUCUGCUCAGAGAGAUUGUCUUCAAAUGUGAGCGUGGUUCUGUUGUUUCCAAUCCUUUGAGCACGUCUAUAAAUUCCUUCGUAACAUUGCCUCCCUUCCCACUAUUCCUGCCACCUUCUCAAGCCUGUUCUUCAUUCCAGGCUUUUGUUCAUUCAGUACCCUCUUCCAGGAAGUCUCUUCACCAGCAUCCCCCGUGUCCUGCCCCUGGAUAAUCCCUGCUUGUUUGUGAGGUCUGUGCUUAGAUGCUGCUUCCUCCAAGUCACCUUCGCAGAUCCUGAAAAUCUGAAUUCCCCUAGCAUUCCUCUCCCUGUAGCAGUGACCAUGGUAAAUUACCAUUCCAUUUUUGCUUUUCUGAAAACUUCUACAGGCUACAAACAACUUGAAGGCAGGGCCUCUUGUCUGUUUCAUUCACUGUUGCAUUCCCAGGGCCUAGCACAGUGCCUGGCUCAGAGUAGGCACUGAAUGUGUACUUGUGGAAUGAAUGAAGGAAGACAGACAGACCAGCAUGCAGAUACACAAUGGUGCUUUUGGCAGAGCUCCUAUCUUUGAAGAGCUUAUAGUCUGUUUUACUUUCUGUACAUUGGAAGACUAUGUGGGAUAAUACAAAGAACACACUUUUCAAUUACAUCUGGAUUUAUAUCCCAGCUUUACAAUUUACCAGCCCUGUGAAUUUGAGUAAUUUAUCCAACCUUCCUGAGACUUAACAUAUGAAUUGGUAUAGGGAUGAAAGAUGUCUACCUCAUGGAAUUCUUGUAAGUGCUAAAAUAAGAUAUGUUAAACAUGUGCUAUAAUAAACACACAAUAAUGUUGGCUUCCUUCCUUCCCAACAUGCAGCUCUACUUCUACUUAAUAUCAAUCUCUGCUCACCUUUCCAGUGGACUCAAGAUGAUCCUCCUUCAUGUAUGUGAUCACACAAUUUUAAAAAUCAUAUUGAGAAAAGGAGCCCUGACUGAUACACUGUGAGAACAGAGGAAGGAAAUCUUUGAGGAAUCCAGAAAGACUUCACAGAGGAAGUGGCACUUGAGUUGAGAAGUAGGAGGUCCUGAGAAGAUGGGAGAAAAGAUUAAGUUGGCUGGAACAUAAGUGGAGAUUUCCAGAGGCUACAUAAAAUGAGAUGAUGUCAUCACUCUGGUGGCUAACAGAAUGUCACACGGUGAGAGAGAGACUGAGAGAGAGAGAGAAAGAGAGAGAGAGAAAGAGAGAGAGAGAGAUGUUCGGCCAGCCCAAGCUGUUCCAGCCAUCCCAAGUGUAAAGAAACAAGCCAACCAAGACAUCAAGACCAGUCAAGUCUUCAAAUAACUCCAACACCAACCAUUAUCUGUAAAUACAUGAGAGACCCUCCACGAGAACCGCCCAGCUGAGCCCAGUCAGCCCACAGAACUAUUAGAGAUCACGAUGAAUUAUAGUGUUAAGGCAUUAAGUUUUGGAGUGGUUUGUUAUACAGCAAUAGAUAGUCACAACACUGUUACAUUAACUCCUAUUUCUUCAGCACCUAGCAUGAGCUGUCAUACUUGGUAUAGUGUAGUUGACCAGAAAACACAAUAAGU
rnacentral:lncRNA from 1 species